rnacentral:rRNA from 1 species
UUCCGGUUGAUCCUGCCGGACCUGACUGCUAUCGGAUUGAUACUAAGCCAUGCGAGUCUUUGCAGUAAUGCAAGGCAGACGGCUCAGUAACACGUAGUCAACUUACCCUAUGGACGAGGAUAAUCUCGGGAAACUGAGCAUAAUACUCGAUAGAUCAUAAUGCCUGGAAUGGUUUAUGGUUGAAAUGAUUCGUCGCCAUAGGAUGGGACUGCGGCCUAUCAGCUUGUUGGUGAGGUAAUGGCCCACCAAGGCGAUUACAGGUACGGGCUCUGAGAGGAGAAGCCCGGAGAUGGGUACUGAGACAAGGACCCAGGCCCUAUGGGGCGCAGCAGGCGAGAAAACUUUGCAAUGUGCGAAAGCACGACAAGGUUAAUCCGAGUGAUUUCUGCUAAAGAAAUCUUUUGCAAGUCAUAAAACCACUAGUGAAUAAGGGGUGGGCAAGUUCUGGUGUCAGCCGCCGCGGUAAAACCAGCACCUCAAGUGGUCAGGAGGAUUAUUGGGCCUAAAGCAUCCGUAGCCGGCUCUGUAAGUUUUCGGUUAAAUCCAUGUGCUCAACACAUGGGCUGCCGAAAAUACUGCAUAGCUAGGGAGUGGGAGAGGUAGACGGUACUCGGUAGGAAGGGGUAAAAUCCUUUGAUCUAUUGAUGACCACCUGUGGCGAAGGCGGUCUACCAGAACACGUUCGACGGUGAGGGAUGAAAGCUGGGGGAGCAAACCGGAUUAGAUACCCGGGUAGUCCCAGCUGUAAACGAUGCAGACUCGAUGAUGCAUUGGCAUAUAGCCAGUGCAGUGUCGCAGGGAAGCCGUUAAGUCUGCCGCCUGGGAAGUACGUACGCAAGUAUGAAACUUAAAGGAAUUGGCGGGGGAGCACCACAAGGGGUGAAGCCUGCGGUUCAAUUGGAUUCAACGCCGGG